CAGCCGCCGCGGUAAUACCGGCGGCCCGAGUGGCGGUCACUAUUAUUGGGCUUAAAGCGUCCGUAGCCGGGUUGGGAAGUCCUCCGGGAAAUCUGGCCGCUUAACGGUCAGAAUGCCGGAGGAUACUCCCAGCCUAGGGAGCGGGAGAGGCCGAGGGUAUUCCCGGAGUAGGGGUGAAAUCCUAUAAUCCCGGGAGGACCACCUGUGGCGAAGGCGCUCGGCUGGAACGCAUCCGACGGUGAGGGACGAAGGCCAGGGGAGCAAACCGGAUUAGAUACCCGGGUAGUCCUGGCUGUAAACGAUGCGGACUUUGUGUCGGACAAGCUAUGAGCUUGUCCGGUGCCGGAGGGAAACCGUUAAGUCCGCCGCCUGGGGAGUACGGCCGCAAGGCUGAAACUUAAAGGAAUUGGCGGG
rnacentral:rRNA from 1 species